CUCUCGACCAAUCAGAGUCCAGCAUUGAGUUUCUGGGCCACUCUUGUAGAAGGUGAUCUGUGUUGUGAGGGCGAGGGUCACGGUACACGGUCCACCACCAAUUUGUAGUAAAGAUUUUACGUGAACUGACGAUAUGAAGGCUGGAGCGUAUGAGUAUGAUGAAGAUGGAGAGAAGGCACAGGGUGUGUCUAAGAAGCCAAAUGGAUUACCAAUAUGGGGUAAUGAAAAGACUAUGAAUCUCAACCCUCUUAUCUUGACAAACAUUCAGUCAUCACAGUAUUUCAAAGUAAACCUUUACCAGCUGAAAACCUACCAUGAAGUGAUUGAUGAAAUAUACUACAAUGUGACUCACCUAGAGCCAUGGGAGAAGGGAAGUCGCAAAACCUCAGGCCAAACUGGCAUGUGUGGUGGUGUACGAGGAGUUGGGGCAGGAGGCAUUGUGUCGACGGCCUUUUGCAUUUUGUAUAAACUGUACACCCUUCGUUUAACACGCAAACAAGUUACUGGGCUACUAAACCAUGGUGAUUCUCCAUACAUCCGAGGCCUAGGGUUUAUGUACAUAAGGUAUACACAGCCACCUGCAGAUCUUUGGGACUGGUUUGAGUCUUACAUGGAUGAUGAGGAGGAAAUUGAUGUGCGGGCAGGAGGUGGGCAAACAACAACAAUUGGACAGAUUGUGCGUCAGAUGCUAUCCAAACUAGAUUGGUAUUCCACCCUCUUUCCUCGCAUUCCUGUGCCAAUCCAGAAGGACUUGGAGAAGAAAUUAGCUGAUCGUGCUGCUUCCAAACCAACAGUAACUGCAGCAUCUGUUAAUUCUGCAUCAGGCAAGAAUGACUGGUAUGGUACCAAGGGUGAAACUGAUCCAUCCACUCGAGAAACUGUACGAGCAUAUGACUCAGGGAAUAAAGAUUAUGUCUCAAGAGAAAGAGGAGGUGACCGGGAACGGGAAAGAGAACACGAGCGGGACCGUGAAAGAGACAGAGGAAGAGAUUAUGAAAGAGAUCGAGGGAAAGAUAGAGAAAGUGAACGGGGCUUAAACAGAGAAAGAGAUCGGGAAUAUGACAAGCGGAAUGAAAAAUCUCAUGACAGGCCCCGUGAACAACCUCGUGAAAGAAAUGGGGAUCAAGAAAAAGGUCGAGACCGACAAAGAGAUCGAGAGAAGGAUUGUGACCGAGAAAGAGACCAUGACCGUCACCGACAUAAAGACAAAGAGAGGAAAAAAAGUCGCAGUCGAAGCCGUGACAAGAAACAUCGUCACCGUGGUGACAGAUACAUGGAAGAAAAAAAUCAUAGAGAUUUUGAUGAUCUCUUAGAACGAGAGAAGUAUCGUAUUAAGAAGGAGAAGAAAAAGGAGGGCAGUCGAGAACGACACCACAGAAGUCGUUCCCGUGACAAAGAGAGGAAACAUCGAUAUUGAUCUACAGUACUUCUUCCCACGCAGUAUUUGGAACACAAAUGUGGCUAUUAUAGAACUAUUACCCACAAAUUUAUAUCAUUGCUCUACGUUUCCAUGGGCUUGUUAUGAAUUCUUGAUGGCAACUGUUGAAUAAAACCAGAAUGGGGUGUCGCACUCCCUUCUCACCAUAGCAAACACGGGGUUCCAGCCCAAAAGAUGCAGCCGAGACCGGAGGAUGGGCACAGCUCCGGUGACCCAGUUGUCAUCAGGCAUGUUGAAGCAAAGUUGUACAGGAAGAGGCCCUACCUUGUGCUAACCCACAAGGUAGGGACAGCUGGCUAGGCCGGGAUGCAAAUCCCUGAGGUAAUCAAAGACUACUCACCUGUAGCCUUUGAUUGUACAGUACUCAAUAUAUAUUUACCUAUAAAGUUACCUUCAAUAUAUGUACAGUAUGCCUAAUAAGGAUUUAAUAUGUACUGUACAGUAUACAUUAAUGAUUCUUAGCAAGUACAUUAAAUCCUCUUAUUUACUUUUUUCUAGUUCCAUUAUUUCACUUAACCGUAGUUGACAAAUGCUGAUUUAAAUUGCAUUGGUUCAAAUUAACGUAGUUUUUAAUAAUUCAAAAUUUGCAUGCUACCGUCACUACUUUGGGCAACCUCUAAAUAAUUCCUUCACCAUAUAUGGUGAGUAUUAUACUCUGUUGAUUUAGUAUACAGUACACUAAACCAUUGUUAUUCUGGGGAUUAGGUUCCAAGGAGUGUCAUGAAUAGGCAAAACCGUGAAUAGCAAUUUGUACUAUCUUAGUGCAACUACUGUAUAUGUAAACCAAACAACCAACCAGCUGGGGCAGUACUCAUCCCCUCCUUUAACUUGUCUAAUAAUUCAACUUUAUUUGUCAGGGUUAUCAUUGACUUAUGCCUUUUACGUUUCACUCCACUAACAUCACUAGCACUGACACUAGGCAGUCUUUUAGGGGCCGUUUUCACACACUAACACUGAAGUUUUGAAAGUACAACACAAGAUGCUGCAUCACAGGCAAUGGUUUAGCACGAACAGAGGAGAGGAGACAUUGCGGGCGCGUGGGGUGACUCGUUUCGCUGCUGGAAAAAGCUCGCAAGCUAGCCACCAUCUGCUUACCGUGAAUCGCAAACCCGCAAAUGGCAAGGGUCUACUGUAUAGUAUAUCAUAUUUCAAUGUGUAAAUAAGGCUUAUUUGAAUUUGCUUUGUUACUGUUUAAGAUGUCAAAGAUUUAAAACAAAAAAAAUUCAUAGUUGCUCUGCUGGCUUGCUGUGAUCAGAUGGAUUGUUACUGCCCAGCACUAUUAUUUUUUUUUUCUUAAUUGUUGCUCUUUGCUUCCUUUGAUAAAUGUGUAUGGUAACAAUUCAACCAUCUCUUGAAAUUUUUAGAUUCUUGGUUUAUAGUUAUAAGAAAAAUACCCAAGAAAACAUCAGAAUUACAUUAGGUAGCAUUUCUGUCAGCAGGCUGUAGUCUAACUAACCACCUGGCGCAACACAUCAGUUGAAAGAAUGCAACUCCUGUCCGAGUUCCUGUAUACAACAUUACAGCUAGGAUUUCACAGUGAUGUACACUCGCUACAAAAAGUAUCAGUGCAUACUGUAGUGUGAACAAUUUGAGACCAGUGACGAUAGGUAUUGGGAAAGGCGAGUUGUUCCAGCCAUAUGUUGGCAGCCCUGAUUGUCAGCCAUAU
rnacentral:misc_RNA from 1 species